AUACGGAGGAUGCGAGCGUUAUCCGGAUUUAUUGGGUUUAAAGGGUGCGCAGGCGGCACGUCAAGUCAGCGGUCAAAAUGCGGCGCUCAACGCCGUACCGCCGUUGAAACUGGCGGGCUCGAGUGCGUGGGAGGAUGGCGGAAUGCGCGGUGUAGCGGGGAAAUGCAUAGAUAUCGCGCAGAACCCCGAUUGCGAAGGCUGCUGUCCAUCACGCCACUGACGCUCAUGCACGAAAGCGUGGGUAUCGAACAGGAUUAGAUACCCUGGUAGUCCACGCGGUAAACGAUGAUAACUAGUUAUCCGGCGCGAUUGAGUGCUGGGUGACCGAGCGAAAGCGUUAAGUUAUCCACCUGGGGAGUACGCCGGCAACGGUGAAACUCAAAUGAAUUGACGGGG
rnacentral:rRNA from 1 species